rnacentral:rRNA from 1 species
CCAGCAGCCGCGGUAAUACGUAGGGGGCUAGCGUUAUCCGGAAUUACUGGGCGUAAGGGUGCGUAGGUGGUUUCUUAAGUCAGAGGUGAAAGGCUACGGCUCAACCGUAGUAAGCCUUUGAAACUGGGAAACUUGAGUGCAGGAGAGGAGAGUGGAAUUCCUAGUGUAGCGGUGAAAUGCGUAGAUAUUAGGAGGAACACCAGUUGCGAAGGCGGCUCUCUGGACUGCAACUGACACUGAGGCACGAAAGCGUGGGGAGCAAACAGGGAUUAGAUACCCUGGUAGUCCACGCCGUAAACGAUGAGUACUAGCUGUCGGAGGUUACCCCCUUCGGUGGCGCACCUAACGCAUUUAAGUACUCCGCCUGGGAAGUACGCUCGCAAGAGUGAAACUCAAAGGGAUUGACGGGAAACCGCACAGGUAGCGGAGCAUGUGGUUUAAUUCGAAGCAACGCGAAGAACCUUAUUAAGCUUGACAUCCUUCUGACCUCUCCCUAAUCGGAGAUUUCCCUUCGGGGACAGAAGUGACAGGUGGUGCAUGGUUGUCGUCAGCUCGUGUCGUGAGAUGUUGGGUUAAGUCCCGCAACGAGCGCAACCCUUGCCUUUAGUUGCCAGCAUUAAGUUGGGCACUCUAGAGGGACUGCCAGGGAUAACCUGGAGGAAGGUGGGGAUGACGUCAAAUCAUCAUGCCCCUUAUGCUUAGGGCUACACACGUGCUACAAUGGGUGGUACAGAGGGCAGCCAAGUCGUGAGGCGGAGCUAAUCCCUUAAAGCCAUUCUCAGUUCGGAUUGUAGGCUGAAACUCGCAUACAUGAAGCUGGAGUUACUAGUAAUCGCAGAUCAGAAUGCUGCGGUGAAUGCGUUCCCGGGUCUUGUACACACCGCCCGUCACACCACGGAAGUUGGGGGCGCCCGAAGCCGGAUUGCUAACCUUUUGGAAGCGUCCGUCGAAGGUGAAAUCAAUAACUGGGGUGAAGUCGUAACAAGGUAGCCGAU